ACAAGGAAAUGGAGGCUCCACACAGCACAGAAACUGACGGGGGCCAAGGUUUGCCUAUGGAGGUCUUGGCUUCCUGUCUGCCCCUCUUGCGUAAAUUUCAGGAGCUCUUUAAGAGGGAACAAAAGGAGGACUGGGCAGUCGGUGUUGAUUGCCUAAAUCGAGCAGUCUUCAGUGCUUCUCAAAAACAGAGCGGAUGGGAUUUCAUCUCCUUUCCCACCGGAUUCACAUGGAGCACUUCUCUGAAAGAAAGUAGACUGGGGUUAAAAGUAAUAGGAGGAAACCACCACUGGAGUCCACCACUACAGUCUUAAUACAGUAAAGCUCAAAGGGGUUGUUUGAAAUCACACUGGAGUUAGAGGUUGCAGAGCUGGGACCAGAACCAGAGGUGGCUGUCUCCUGGACCCUUGCUCUCCCCAACACAUCUUAGGGUUUUUUUUUCUUCCCACUACAGCUUUCAACUUUAUUUCAAAACUGUACCUAUGGUGGUUCCCUGUAAGGAUAAAAACAAAAGUUUUAAAUAACUCACAUGUAAUGGCAAUGGUUUUCAUGUUAUGUUUUAGAGUAUUUGAAAACUGUGAAAACAUACGCAACACAAAGAAAAUCAAGGGAUAUAUAUAUAUAUAUAUAAUGUAUGUUAUAUAUAAUUUGUCCAACUUAUUCACCUCUAGAAAAUAAUUGCACGGUGUUUUAGAAGCUCUGUAAAAAAAAAAAAAAGUGGCUAGAAUUCAUUCACACAUCUUGUGGCUCACAGGAACACUCUUUCUCAACUCUACAUUGAAGAUUAGUACAUCUUCACACAGCCAUGCAGACCAUUAACUUUGUUGAGAGAUAAAAAUGCUUUUUAUAAUAAGACUAAGUUUCUAAGUAUAAGGGUAAGUCAUAUAGGAAUUUAAGAAGUUUUAAAAGCAACAUCAGGCUAAUGGCUUCUAUUUAGCUUGGCUUUAUUGAAUCCUGCUGAAGACCAUGAACUGGGAGACUACAAACAAGGGUAAAACCAUGUGUUCACAAUCUGGGUAGAGGUGUAAAAUAAACAAAUACAUAUGAAUGGUACAAUAAUAAUUGAUAUGGGAGAUAUUUUAUGGAUAAAGUAGGCAGAAGAAGGAAAGGAAACACAUUAACAUUUUAUUUAUUGAACAUAAUUUAUUGAGUUCUUGCUAUGUCCAAGAUACUAAUACAAUAGUACACAAAACACAGUUCCUGCCCUCUUAGAGAUUGCAUUUUUUGAGUUCCUACUAAGUGUCAGGCAAUCUUUCUUACAUUAUGUUUAUUUUUAAAUAUACAUGGUCUCAGUUAAUAUUCCAAUAACUCUGGGUAGUACCAUUUUGAAGUCUACCUCUUGAAAUUUCAGCAACACAUGAAAUUUAUAAACAAUCCAUAGAUGUCUCCUUAUGUAGAUACAUAAAAGGACAUGGUGAAAAAUAAUUAGAAAACUUAGAUUUACAGAGGUUAGGUACUUUAUUAAAGGUUAAUAGCAAACUGAAAUUCAAAUCCAAUGUCUAUUUUGAUUCCAGAGUCCCCUAUAUACCUUUAUGCAGUGCAUCUUACUGUGGGGCCAAGCCCAGGCUGACUUCACAAUCAAACUGCAUCUUAAGAGAUGAGUGGGACAGAAGCAUAAUAGAAAAUGAUUAUUGCUUAUGUAAUAAAUCCCACAGAAGGAACCUUUUUUUCAGUCAUUAAGGUAACAUGAUUCAGUUGUCCAGACAUAAUGAGAGAGUUAUUCAUAUAAUUUUAGCCUAAUUAGAAAGGCCAACAUUUAGGAAUUUUUUUACAAGUUAUCACGAUGACUUUUAUUUUGACCUCCUGAAAUUAAACAGAACAGUUCAGUUUAACAAACUUUUACUGAGCAUCAUUUGCCAAGAAAUAUGCUAAGUACUAGAAAUACAUGCUGUCAAGGAAUUAAAAUAAUAUAUAUAAUUGAUUCAUUAAAAACAUGCAAGUAUAAGAGUCAUUGUGUCCUGAAUUUUGUAACAAUUCUGGUUUUUUGUUUGUUUUUUUAUGUGGCAGAUGUUUUUAAUUGAGGCAGGAAACCUGUUUACAUAAGCAAUGGCAAUACAGUUCUGGUUUAAAUAUAAUUCACAUGACUUCACCUUUGUGACUUUCAUCUGUAAAAUUAUGAGGUUGUAUUAGC
ensembl:lncRNA